rnacentral:lncRNA from 1 species
UCGAAAAUGGAAAAAUAACAAUAUCUGUGACCUAAACAUAUAAAUAAAGGGAUUGAAGUCAAUACCAGUCUUCAAUUAUUUUCUUAGAACAUUAACCUGAAAAAAAAAAUGUAGUGUAGAAAAUAGAAUGUUGGAAAUCAAUCAAUUUCAUCAGCAUCAUCGUUUCUGUUGUGGUCAACAUCGUCAGCAGCGAAUGGAGCAGGUAAAUUUCCAGGAUUUAACAACAGUGACUAGCUCAAUAUUUCAGUUGUUGGGGUGUUUUAUGAUCCUUUGCAGAACCACGGUCCUUGCUCUCCUAAUAUCCCGGCUACAAGUAUCAGCUUGUUGCCCCAAAUCCUCCACAUUCUUCAUAAACACUCCCAGCUUCUUUUUGAUUUCAUCUAUCCCAAUCUUCACAGCUUCUUCCUCUAUUGCAAAAUCUGCAUUUUGCAAGAGGGCUUCAAUUUCAAUCUCCAAUUUAUCAAUGAGAAUCCGGAUGUUAUCCAAAUCUCUAAUGGCCACAUAAGUUCCUGCUUGCAUUGAGCUAAUCACUUCCUUCUGUCCUUUCAAUGCGUUUUCAUAGUUUUUCCAGAGAGAAUCAAUCCACUUCCCCAUUGAACCUAAUGGAAUAGCAGUUGCAGCAGCAAGAGCUGCAGCAACUGGAGGGGCAGCCAUAGCUGCUGCCACAACUGAACAUAUCAACACAGCAGCAAAUGUAGCAACAAAUAUCAUACUUGAUACCUUACGCCAAGCAUGAAUGUACUUGAGCUUCUUGUCAAGCUUGUUCUUUCGAAGUUGCAAUUUCUCGAGCAUUGCUACUUGUUGCCUAUAAACAGAUUGAAAGAUUUGAAAGAAUUCCUCGGUGAAAGGAUCACCAGCUGCCUUGAAAUUCUUCAACUCUUCCAAUGUCCUCACAUACCUACUCCCACCAAUCUCACUUUCUUCUUCGAAUUGUUGCAAGGCAACAAGAAUAAGCAAUUGGCUAUCACGAGCACGCUUCAAACACUUCUCUAACGCAGAACAAAAAUCAAGAGUUUGCAAGCUAUUCUCAAAAUACUCUUUGACAAGCUCAAACAAUUCUUGACUCUUCCAUAUAUCUUUCUUGCAUUCUAAGAUAACUUUAACAACCUCUUGAUUCAUCUGCAGAAGACAUUCUGUUACCUCUUUUAGUGAAUCAAAUGAAAGUGCUCGGACUUCAACACCAACUGCCAGAGUGUUGAUGACUUGAUUGGUUCGAGCUUGGACAUUAGUGUCAAAGUUCUGCAAGUCUGUGUCUAUCUUGCAAGCAGCUUCAUAAGAACUCAAUUCAGUUGUGUACUGCAAAUUGUUGCUAAGAUUGAUAGCUGAUGAUGUUUCAGAUGUCUUCUUGCUCGUAUGAUUCCCCAUAGCUCUGUCAGAUCAGAUCUAAGCAGAGAAAAAAAAUCAAAUCCAAAUUCAAUUCAGCACACUUUUCCAAUCCCUGAACUUGAAAUCUGUUUAUAAAUUUACAAUCUUUUACUGUGGCAAAGGCUACUAAAUUAUCAAAGAUAUUAUGAACAUAUGAGCUAAAGCAUGAAAAAGGAGAUUCUUACACCAGAAAAUAUAUACUAUAUACAACAAAUC